UGGAAAGAUCAGGUUGACAAAAUUCUACGAACAUUUCCAUGAAGAGGAGCAACAACACAUUAUACGCGAGGUUUUUCAACUUGUUUCCAGGCGAGCAGAUGACGUUUGCAGCUUCCUUGAAGGUGGAGAGUCCUGGUAGAGCUUCUUGAUAAGGCCUUUGAAAAUGUCUGUGAGCUUGACCUCGUGUUUCACGUGGACCAGGUGCACUACAUCUUGAACGAGCUUGUGAUGGGAGGUAUGGUGGUAGACACCAACAUGACUG